rnacentral:rRNA from 1 species
UACGUAGGGGGCAAGCGUUGUCCGGAAUCACUGGGCGUAAAGCGUGCGUAGGCGGUUUGUUAAGUCUGGAGUGAAAGUCCAUGGCUCAACCAUGGGAAUGCUUUGGAAACUGGCAGACUUGAGUGCUGGAGAGGCAAGGGGAAUUCCACGUGUAGCGGUGAAAUGCGUAGAUAUCGGGAAGAACACCAAAGAGGCGAAGGCAGUUAACUAUUCUGCUCCUGACAUUGAGGCACGAAAGCGUGGGUAGCAAAGCGG